GAAGACUGACAGAGGCG
rnacentral:rRNA from 1 species